rnacentral:rRNA from 1 species
AGUGAACGCUGGCGGUAGGCCUAACACAUGCAAGUCGAACGGCAGCACAGUAAGAGCUUGCUCUUACGGGUGGCGAGUGGCGGACGGGUGAGGAAUACAUCGGAAUCUACUUUUUCGUGGGGGAUAACGUAGGGAAACUUACGCUAAUACCGCAUACGACCUACGGGUGAAAGCAGGGGAUCUUCGGACCUUGCGCGAUUGAAUGAGCCGAUGUCGGAUUAGCUAGUUGGCGGGGUAAAGGCCCACCAAGGCGACGAUCCGUAGCUGGUCUGAGAGGAUGAUCAGCCGUACUGGAACUGAGACACGGUCCAGACUCCUACGGGAGGCAGCAGUGGGGAAUAUUGGACAAUGGGCGCAAGCCUGAUCCAGCCAUACCGCGUGGGUGAAGAAGGCCUUCGGGUUGUAAAGCCCUUUUGUUGGGAAAGAAAAGCAGCAGGUUAAUACCCCGCUGUUCUGACGGUACCCAAAGAAUAAGCACCGGCUAACUUCGUG